rnacentral:tRNA from 1 species
UAAGACAAAAGCAACAUGCUCUUAGUUUCGGCCUAAGUAUAGGAGUAAUCCUUGUCUUAU